AGUGGACGCUGGCGGUAGGCCUAACACAUGCAAGUCGAACGGCAGCACAGUAAGAGCUUGCUCUUACGGGUGGCGAGUGGCGGACGGGUGAGGAAUACAUCGGAAUCUACUUUUUCGUGGGGGAUAACGUAGGGAAACUUACGCUAAUACCGCAUACGACCUACGGGUGAAAGCAGGGGAUCUUCGGACCUUGCGCGAUUGAAUGAGCCGAUGUCGGAUUAGCUAGUUGGCGGGGUAAAGGCCCACCAAGGCGACGAUCCGUAGCUGGUCUGAGAGGAUGAACAGCCCCACUGGAAAUGAGACACGGUCCCGACUCCUACGGGAGGCAGCAGUGGGGAAUAUUGGACAAUGGGCGCAAGCCUGAUCCAGCCCUACCGCGUGGGUGAAGAAGGCCUUCGGGUUGUAAAGCCCUUUUGUUGGGAAAGAAAAGCAGCAGGUUAAUACCCCGCUGUUCUGACGGUACCCAAAGAAUAAGCACCGGCUAACUUCGUG
rnacentral:rRNA from 1 species